rnacentral:snRNA from 1 species
AUUGCUUCUUGGCCUUUUGGCUAAGAUCAAGUGCAGCAUUUGUUUUUAUCAAAAGGCAGCACAUAAAAUGAAAAGCACAAAUAUGAGAUAGGAUAAUAUUGUGAUAAAUGCUGUAAAGUAGGUUUGUUUGAAAUUACU